rnacentral:tRNA from 1 species
AGCUUCUUAGUUUAUAAUUAAAAUUUUUAUUUGUGGAGUAAAAGAAUAUCGGAGCUU